GACAGAGGAUGCAAGCGUUAUCCGGAAUUAUUGGGCGUAAAGCGUCUGUAGGUGGCUUUUUAAGUCCGCCGUCAAAUCCCAGGGCUCAACUCUGGACAGGCGGUGGAAACUACCAAGCUCGAGUACGGUAGGGGCAGAGGGAAUUUCCGGUGGAGCGGUGAAAUGCAUAGAGAUCGGAAAGAACACCAACGGCGAAAGCACUCUGCUGGGCCGACACUGACACUGAGAGACGAAAGCUAGGGGAGCGAAUGGG
rnacentral:rRNA from 1 species